AGUGAACGCUGGCGGUAGGCCUAACACAUGCCAGUCGAACGGCAGCACAGUAAGAGCUUGCUCUUACGGGUGGCGAGUGGCGGACGGGUGAGGAAUACAUCGGAAUCUACUUUUUCGUGGGGGAUAACGUAGGGAAACUUACGCUAAUACCGCAUACGACCUACGGGUGAAAGCAGGGGAUCUUCGGACCUUGCGCGAUUGAAUGAGCCGAUGUCGGAUUAGGUAGUUGGCGGGGUAAAGGCCCACCAAGGCGACGAUCCGUAGCUCGUCUGAGAGGAUGAUCAGCCACACUGGAACUGAGACACGGUCCAGACUCCUACGGGAGGCAGCAGUGGGGAAUAUUGGACAAUGGGCGCAAGCCUGAUCCAGCCAUACCGCGUGGGUGAAGAAGGCCUUCGGGUUGUAAAGCCCUUUUGUUGGGAAAGAAAAGCAGCAGGUUAAUACCCCGCUGUUCUGACGGUACCCAAAGAAUAAGCACCGGCUAACUUCGUG
rnacentral:rRNA from 1 species